AUAUUUUGCUUGGCUGGUGCGAUCAAUGGGUUGUUGCCUGUGUUGCUACUAUUUUUGGGAAAAUGUUUGUUUUGUGACUACGGCAUGCCAUGUUGCCUUCGAUUAUGAUUUUGAGAAAGUUGCGUUGGCUAUUGAAACAUCGGCUUUGUUCGGGAGCGAUCGAUGGGUCUCGACUCGUCCGCAGCUCCCGUCAUAUUAUAUGAGCAGCUCUUUUGGAUACGGUAGCUAUGCGGGUUCUUGUGGUCCUCUUCGGUCCGCAUGCAACCUCGUAGUACACACCCGUAACAGUUCAUUGUACGUGGGAGUUCUAUGAUAUAUUAGUGAUUGCGUUGCGUGCUUGCGGAGUUGCAUUCCGUCCGGGAGUGCUUCAGCAGCUCGCAUGCUCACUUUUUUGACU
rnacentral:misc_RNA from 1 species